CUCUUCUCUACAGAGCCACCAUGUGAUCCUGGGAAGAGGACACCAGUGGAAGGCGUCCUGGAUAAGAUAAGUCUUAUAAAAUAUAUAGAUUUUUAAUAAUUAAGACUGAGCUAGCAUAUAAGAAAUCCUAGUCAAUUGGCCAGCAGCAUUGUAAACUAAUAUAAAACUCUGUGCGUCAUUCUGGUCUCCCAUGUGGCAGCAGGGCUCAGUCAGAUGGAGUAAAGACUUAUCAUUACAGAAUGGUACUAUAAGAAAUCCUAGUUGCUAGGCGUUGGUGGCACAUGCCUUUAAUCCCAGCACUCGGGAGGCAGAGGCAGGCGGAUUUCUGUGAGUUCGAGGCCAGCCUGGUCUCCAGAGUGAGUGCCAGGGUAGGCUCCAAAGCUACACAGAGAAACCCUGUCUCAAAAACAAAAAACAGAAAACAAAAAAUAAACAACAACAACAAAGAAAUAGUAGUCAAUUGGCCAGCAGCAUUGAAAAUAAUAUAAGACUCUGUGUGUUACUUUUGGGCGGCCACAUGGCAGCGGGGCUCGGGCGGCUGGCAGAAAGGUUUAUCGUUCCUUUCCCCUCCCUCAUGGCCUCCCUCCCUUCAUUCCCCACUUCCCCACGUUCCCCUUGUCUCUGUCGUCUUGGGGUCUUUGUUCCUCCUGCCGUCCUCUCUGGCACACUCUUGCCAUAGUUGCUCAUCUUUGAGGUAUCGAUUUAGUUACCUCUUUCUCUAGGUUGAGGAAGUGGUCCCCUGUUGGCUUCUUCUGGUGCCCAAUACGAUGAUUGAUUGUCUUCUCUGGGGGUAGAGACCUUUACUUAAUACCUAUCAUACCUUGGAGUAGAAUACUCAAAAAUAAUCAUGGAUUGAAUGAAUAAGUAUCAAUUUCCCAGGGAUACGGAGCUAAAGGAUGAGGCCUCAGGUCUUUGUGGCAUGCGGCUGAUAAGUAGCAUUGCAGGAAAGUGACAGCUGGUGUCAAAGUCAUUAAAAGGUGAGAUUAGCACAGGAAAAAGACGUAUGCUGCAUGUUUCAGACAAGACAGAAAGACAGGGUCCAGCUUCUGUAAUAGAGGGGUCUGCUGUGAGCUACCUCAUCACACGGUGUAAAGCUGUGUCACUGUGAUUGGUUUAAUAAAAAGCUAAAUGACCAACAGCUAGGCAGGAGGUAUAGGCAGGACUUCUGGACAGAGAGAGCUCUAGGAAGAAGAAAGGGGAAGUUGCCAGCCAGAUGCAGAGGAAACAGGACACGCAGGAGGGAAGGUAAAAGCAGUGAGUCACGAUAGCAGCAUGUAGAUUAGUAGAAAUGGGUUAAUUUAAGCUAUAAGAGUUAGUUAGAAACAAGCCUACGCUAAAAUUUAGCUUUCAUAAUUAAGAAGUCUCCCCGUCCUUGUUUGGGAUCUGGCUGACAGGACAGAGAAAGACUUGAUGCAUAUGGCAUCCAAUGUGGAGGCUCAAUACCUAAAUAUAUGCCUGAGAAAGCUAAGAAAAGUUCUGGACAAGGAGCCGGAUGUGGAUUCCCAGUCCUGCAGUCUCUCGGUCAGGCUACUCAGCAGCAUACAGAGAUGUGGCUCCGGGCCGCUGCCUGUGGGCGAAGCCAGCCCCCGGCACCACGCAUGAGCUUCAUCAGCUAAGCUGAGCCACACAGAGGCUGACAUCUAAGAUUUGUCUCACACAGCCAGAAAGCACUACCGGUACUUAGUAAAGUCAUGUCCAGACAUAAAAAAACCUCUAAAAAGGUGCAAUGUGUUUUGUUUUUUUCAAAAAUGUGCUUAGAUGUUAAAGAAAUAAAAAAGAAAAUGAGUAUAUAUAGUCAUAAAAAUUAAAUAGUUUGAAAAUAAUAAGGUCUUGAAAGAGAGAACGUGUGUGUGUGUGUGUGUGUGUGUGUGUGUGUGUGUGACAUAAAGAUGGGAAAUACAGUGUCUAGAUGGUAUAUGGUGCUUUCGUGACUUUGAAGUUUUGAAUGCUAAUGAACAGAGAAUGGCAACUAUUGAGAGACACUGGCUUGUGGAAGGGACUGCUGAGUUAAACCAGCCUAUACAUUUUAGGGAUGUCUUGGCUUCAGAAUGGAAGUCAGGAAAUGCAUUGCAUUAGGGGAGAGGUUGUGCUUUUGUUUCCACAGGAAAUGGAAAGCUAUGGGUUCCUUCAAAGUUAAUCAGAAUUAGAUUAGCCUGAGAGAUUGCAUUAGAAAAUCUUGGCCACAAACAUGAAAAAGGAAGAAAAGAAAAGCUACAAGACAGGUGAUGUAUAAGCUGAUCCUUUGACAUGGGAACAUCUCUGAGACGGGAUGAGACAAAAUAAAUCUUGUUGGCUGCAGAGUCCUCUUGACUUAUUAUUACAAGGCAUCCUUUCAUUGGCAUGGGUAGAGAUUUAUAUUAUAGUCCAAACAAUUUACAAAGUUAAUAAAUGCCUUUUACCUGUGCUCAAACAUCUAACAAAAUAUAAUGUUUAACUGACUGUUGCACACUGCACAUUCACGCUGUGUUAUAUAUAUAUAUGUUAUAUAUAUAUAACAUAUAUAUAUAUAUAUGUUAUCUUUAAAAGUUUGGGUAUUUCCAGGGGUAAAAAAGGAUCAUGUACCAAUAAAGACAAGUAGCCCAGGUGAUCUAGCCUCUCAGAAUGCCUCUAUUGAAGUUUCCUCAGAAUUCUGUAUCCAGAACAAUCUCAAAGCUGCUAGCUGAGACAGUCCAUCCUCACGCACUACUCCAGCCAGAACUUUGGAUAUGCCCUGCACUUUCCUAUUGACAGAGACUGGAUAUAAAGGCUACUGCUAGCUUUCCUAGGACUUGGCCAUUAUCCUAGUUUCUCAGGGUCCCCUAGAGAUGCCAUCACCCCCAGACAAGAGAAAGCAGUCUAGAGAACAUGACAUCCACAGACCCAAGAGCUGGGGUGGGUGGUUUUGGUCAUUCAAUGGGUUAUAGAUGUUUGCAAGUAUUUAGGGGGGUUGGUUACAGUUGUUACUGGUCAUGGCCAGGAAAAAGCUGAACAAAGGAGAUUAGAUUUAGGGAUCUCUCUCUGAAGGGAAAGGCGGGAUAUAGUAUAGAAAUGAGGGGAUAAAGGGUGGUUUGCUGAGUCUACUUUCAAACAACCACUAGUCUCAAAUAUUUUACAUUGUUAUGGAUUUUUGUAAAUUGAUACAAAUUUAAGGUUAUUUUGCUACACUGUCUAUAUGUUUCUAAUAUUGUUUAAGGUAUUGUGUCUAUGCAGGUCAUUAAAAAGAUAAUGUAAAGUUUUAGUUCUUAAAAGCUAUUUAAGAUAAUAAAGAAAGACGGGUUAGUAGUUAGUCAUCUAUAACAAUCAAACUUAUCGUCAUGUUAGGUAUGCUUUAAACAUCAUACAGAAAUAUGUUUUAUAUAGAUAGGUGACUUUCAAACAUUUCAAAGACCUGGCAUUUAAAAUGUUUAAUAACAUAAGGCUUUUCAUGACAGUGAGACAUGCUGCAUCUGGCAGUACCAAUUUACUUCAAAAGAGGGUGAUGGGCAUUGAAGAACAUCCUUAUGGAGUUUUCUUUCUUUGUGGCAAAAGUUAGUCAUGUGAUCAAGAAAUUGCUUUUCCUCGACUGCUGGCAGUAUGUUAUCCAAACUGGACAAGCAAGACACAAAAGAAAGUGACUGCUGAACUUUGCCAAGACAAGGCAGGACAGUCCUUCAAAAAUUCCUGCUUCACAGAAAAUUCUGUCAGAUACUCUAGGCCUGUAGGCUGAAGAUGGGUGCCCAAUGUUACAGAGGAACCUUUGGUGAAUGUGCACAUAGCCAGAUGUCCCUGCUGUUUCCCACAGUUUCGGAAGUUGCUUGCUCUGCAUUUUCUGUUUACUCAGGCAGCAGAAAGUGAACUGAGUGUCACACUGAGUGAAGCUUGAGCAAAGGAGACCUCAAAGCCCGCCCCCACUGUGACACACUUCCUCCAACAAGGCCACACCUACUGCAACAAAACCAUACCUCCUAAUAGUGCCACUCCCUUUGGGGGCCAUUUUCUUUCAAACCGCCAUAGGAAGUAUGAUGAAGAAAACAAAAUGCAGAAACUGGGUGGCAUAGAAUGGCCUUUAUCCUGAAAGGGGAACGGAGAACAGAGGAAAAAUCCUAAGACAGGUGGCCAUCAUUUAUGCCUAUUCCUAGGUGCCUAUCAAGUCUGUAAAGGAGAUGUCCUGUUAGGGUUGGUCACACAGAUUGAGAUUCUCUGGGAGAGCAAGGCAUAACAUACAGAUUUGAGGAGCAUCUGUCUUAGGAAAUAUGAAUGUUAUAGAUCUAAGUCAGUUUACCCGGGGACAGAAUGUAAUGGUAGAAUGUUAUGAAUUGUCAUGUCUCCUGUUCCACACUCUCCCUCCAAAUUCAUAUGUUGAAGCCCCGUCUCUCAGGUGAGGGUUGGAAGAGGCUGACUGGAUUGCAAUCUUAGGGUGGAGCCUCAAGAACAGGAUGGGCACACUCAUAAAAGACACAAGACCCUGCUUCGUCUCUCUUCCGGCUACGUGAAGAUGUAAGAACACCGCCAGCACUCUCCCUCACACCAAAUACUGCCAGGGUUCUGACUGUGGAUUUGGUCAUUUAAGACCUCCAACCUAUAGUAAUUUGUUAGAGCACCCUAAACUAAACAGUGAUAUUUCACAUUGUGGUUCUAGAUGAGGAUAGCUAGAGAGGGAACCCUAAGUUCCAAACACUGAGCAAGGCAGGGUCAAGUUAAUUUCCCUCUAUGACUUGGUUCCCUGAUACCUGUCUCCAGAUCCUCUGAAUUCUACCCCACACCCAGUUGAACUGCAAAGUUCCCUUUCUGGUCCCUGGCCCCAAUGCGAUUCAGUGGUACCACACCCACCCAGCUAGCCAAUGGCAGAGGAGAGCAGUCCCUUUGGUCUCCUCAGAAUCCUGGCACCAAAGGCCUGACCUAGCUCUUGCCAGAGUUUUGCCCCGCUGGGUUCUCACCUCUUCCUGGAACAAAUGAGGAGACCGUAGAUGGCAAUCUCUUGUUGACAGCUCUCUCUGGGCCAAUGUGACUUCAGCCUCAGCCUCUCCCUACCCAUAGCAAAAGCUCUUCAACUCUGGCCUCUACAUAGGUGUGUCUCACAGAGAGUGGCCCUUCUUGAUAGGCUCUUCCCACCCCAGAGCAAUGGUAGCCCUAUGACGACAACCCCAGUGACCCACAGGGGGAAUGCUCAGAGCAGAGCCCAUAGGUGGGGUGUACCUGACAACCUUAAGAAGCUAAAUAGAAGGAAAUCCAGGGAAGUGAAGGGGACUGUGAGGGUGCAGAUUGAAGGUGGACUGUCCACAUUGUCAUAACAAGGCACCCGCAGCGCAGAGCUGUGCUCUCCCAGCAAGAGCAAUAGCAUGAGACCUGAUUUGAGGCCUGUCUUCCCUGUGUCUUGUUCCUGCCAAUAUGCUUUGAACUCACUUCUCAU
ensembl:lncRNA